rnacentral:pre_miRNA from 1 species
ACUCGAGCCAUUCGCACAAUGUUCGCCAGAUGGCCGCACGCUUUGUUCGUUCGGCUCGCGUUA